AAAAAACGAUGGUACAAGCAUUUGUCAAGCAGUUGGGAAUAUUGAACAGCAGCUAGAACUUCAGGAGAAGAAACAUGUUGGGCAGUAUCCGUUACUCACUCUUGUUCAUUUCUUUUGUUUUAGUGUCGUCGUUCUUCCUAACAUCAGAUGCAAUCUCCUGCAGCUGUAAUGCUCCAGUCGGAGGGAGAUGCCGGAGGAGGUGUCAAGGACGUAAAUAAGGAGUUUGUCCAAGAAAAUAAUGUCCUAACAUGGCGAAGAACAUAAGGACUACUAACUGUACUGAGCACUCAAUGUCAUGUGAGAAUAAAUUAUUUACAAAAACAUAAAACAUAUAAUUUGAUCUACCGUACACAACCCAUUCGA